AACUUUCAACAAUGGAUCUCUUGGUUCUCGCAUCGAUGAAGAACGCAGCAAAAUGCGAUAAGUAAUAUGAAUUGCAGAAUUCCGUGAAUCAUCAAAUUUUUGAACGCAAAUUGCACUCCUUGGUAUUCCGAGGAGUACACAUGCUUGAGGGUCAGU
rnacentral:rRNA from 1 species